rnacentral:rRNA from 1 species
AUACGAAGGGGGCAAGCGUUGUUCGGAAUAACUGGGCGUAAAGCGCACGUAGGCGGAAUGUUAAGUUAGAGGUGAAAUCCCAGGGCUCAACCCUGGAACGGCCUUUAAUACUGGCAAUCUAGAGACCGAGAGAGGUGAGUGGAAUUCCGAGUGUAGAGGUGAAAUUCGUAGAUAUUCGGAGGAACACCAGUGGCGAAGGCGGCUCACUGGCUCGGUACUGACGCUGAGGUGCGAAAGCGUGAGGAGCAAACAGGAUUAGAAACCCUAGUAGUCC